GUAGUCGUGGCCGAGAAGUUAAGGCGAUGAACUAGAAAUCCAUUGGGCUCUUCCCACGUAGGUUCGAAUUCUACCGACCAUG